AACGAACGCUGGCGGCAUGCCUAACACAUGCAAGUCGAACGAGACCUUCGGGUCUAGUGGCGCACGGGUGCGUAACGCGUGGGGAUCUGCCCUUUGCUUCGGAAUAACAGUUAGAAAUGACUGCUAAUACCGGAUGAUGACUUCGGUCCAAAGAUUUAUCGGCAAAGGAUGAACCCGCGUAGGAUUAGCUAGUUGGUGGGGUAAAGGCCUACCAAGGCGACGAUCCUUAGCUGGUCUGAGAGGAUGAUCAGCCACACUGGGACUGAGACACGGCCCAGACUCCUACGGGAGGCAGCAGUGGGGAAUAUUGGACAAUGGGCGAAAGCCUGAUCGAGCAAUGCCGCGUGAGUGAUGAAGGCCUUAGGGUUGUAAAGCUCUUUUACCAGGGAUGAUAAUGACAGUACUUAGGGAAUAAGCUCCGGCUAACUCCGUG
rnacentral:rRNA from 1 species